GAUUAUAGAAACCGGCAAAAAGAUAUUAAACUCAACAGAAUAAGAACUACUUUUAACUUUUUAGGAAACUGUUGACUGGUAAUUUUUUUUUAUUCCAUUUCGACAUUCAUUAACAAGCUAGAGCUUCAACGGGAAAAAUUGAAAAGCCACACAAACCGCACCGACACAUUUCAGUCAAAAUAAAAAAGCUAAAGAAUGUAAACAAAGGGUUCAUAUAUACAUCUGAACUAACAGUAGCAAUGGAAAAGAAAUAAUAGUAGUGCAACAAAUAAAAACAAUAAUACCAGCCAUGAUAAACUAAUAUUGUAUCAUCUUAAUUAAUAAUGACUUAGCACUUGCGAGCAAUGUUUCAAAAGUCGAACUGCAUGUUGAAAGAGGAACCUGAUUUAUAUUAGUCCUGAUAUCAGCAUAUUCUCAAAUCUGUCAGCCGGAACGUGUGUAGCUGGUGGCCUCAAACACUGGAGGCAUGUACCCACAAUCCACAGUUCCACACUGCUGCCGAUAACUUGAUGUUGCUCUUCCAUUUCUCUAUGACAUUUCUCUGAAAAAUAGAAUACAAUUGGCCACUAUGUAGUCAGUAUACAUCCAACAGAACCUUUUUAAGCGAACUUAUGAAACACUUGACUUAGAAUCUAAACGGUAUACGAUAAUCUAGAAGCAUAAGCACAAACGGAAAAAAACAAAAAACAAAAAAACAAAACAAAAAACAAAGCUUCACCAAUAUGGGGAGUGGAACCUAUAGUACAGCACAAGAACAAAAAAGGAAUUGAAUUACUAUAGAUAACAUAUGUUAAACAGCUUUUAAAUUUAUAAUAACUAUGAAGCUAUCUAUUCUAGCUUGUCACUAAUAGACUAUUAUAAAAGCCGAAUCAUAAUUCAAUGAAAAUAAGAAUCCAAUAUCACGAAGAAGUAUUCAUUCCUUUUUGCUUUUCAAGAAGGCACAGUGGUACACAGAGCUACAUACCUAAAACCGGCUAGUUGUUUUUUUUUUUUUUGGUCAAUAGAUGAAAUUUAGUAGCCACAAGGGCAAGCAAACAAGAACAAGAACAAAGCUACAUAAAGGGAUUAAAAACAAUCAAGGAAAGAAAGACAACACAGCCUGCACACUGCCACAGCAGACACCAAAAGCUCAAAAGAAGAGAAAACUAGGGAGGGCCAGGAUGGCCGACGUCAUUCCUGAGAGCAAGGAGUACGUGCGCAGGCCAAUGGCCCAUUCCUGAGAGCACAAACUCUUGAUAGCAAGCAUGGCCGCGGCAUCUGCCAUGCAGUUGGCUUCGCAAGGAACCAUUACCUUGAAAAAGAAGCAGCAGGUGCAUCACCUUGUUCUCAUGCUAGCUAGGUAUGCUAGCUAGCUUAACUUUGGUCUCAAGCAUUUUGCAAUUCCAUGAUUCUGAAGUAGAAAGGAAGGAAUGCACUAAGAGAUCAAGAGAUUAUAAACUUUGGAAUAAGAUACUAUAUUACUAUACAUAGGUAGAUGUCACAAUCCAUGGGCAUGCAGAUAGAUAACAUGUUUACAUAAGUAUCACUAACCAAAAACAAAAGAUCGAGAUGUAUACUAGCUACUUACUAGAAUGGAGGCCGUCUGUGAAUAUGUAGUACUGCACACAAGAGUCAACAUCAUCAAGUUUAUCCUGUUCUGGCAAACCUAAGAAAAAAAAAGAGUUGUAUGUUGCUUAAACAAAUAUUAGCACACAGAGAAACGUAAGAGUAGGAAAAAUGCUGUGUGAACAAUCAUGGAUUGGUAAACCUUAUCGUUCAUUGAUUGGUAACACAUAAUAAUCAAGAAAGAAACAUUAUAAUUUAUUGAUUGGUAAAACAUAACAAUCACAAACUCACAUACAAUCAAAUGAGCCUUCAAUAAACUACAGAUUUAUAGCUUAGCAGCCAGCACUAACUAACCAACUCAACUAUGUAUUACUAUAAUCUAAUUUAUAUAUGUUUUCCUCUAGUAAUUAAGAUGUUUGCUUCUGGUAAAUCGUUGAUCCGUAUGGAUGGCAGGGUUUCCACCGCUUCUUUUGAUCACACAGUACUCCUUCACUGGGUUUCCAAUGCUUCUAUUAUUGAUGAGGCAGUACUCCUUCAUUGGUUAUUUUCCUUGUGGAAGUCGUCCUCGCUGUUUGUCAAGCUCCAGGGCCCAUAAAGAAACCAGACACCAUGUAAGGGAAUGGUUCUCGAAAAGCUACACCGUGCAGGCUUCAGGUACUCCCUCUGGAUCCACAUUUACAACUGAACGGACAAAAAGAAGGAGGUUAGCUAGAAACCUGAUAAAAGAAAGGGAUAAGGUGAUAUUGCAAUUGGACGCAGCAUAAUUUGUAUUCGAUUAUGGGUUAUAUAUGCAAUAUCGCAAUCUCUCGGUCUCUCUCGAGACGUUGGCAACAAAGUAGUAUAAUUUCAUAGAAUUCAACAAUGAACGUAAUCAAUAACAAUGAAUCAUGAAAAACCCUAGCAAAAACACAGUUCAUGUAUUCAGAUUUCAGAAAGAUUAUUUCAGAAAGAGAUCCAAGUACCUCUGGUAGAUCAUUGAUUCGAUGAGUUGAGGCUCUCCUUUACAAGAACCAUCUUCAUCGUUAUCUCCGAGUUCGGUUUCUGAAAACUCAUGACCAACUUUCACCACGUUCUAGAAACUAAGAAGAGACGUAGGCUUUGAAAAUGAGAUUGAAGAUGUGAUCUUCUCGGCGUCUCAGUGGUGCUUUUAUAGGGCAACUUCGAGGGUAAAUCUGUCUGAUCCACUCUUGAAUACUGCUGGCCAUGGUUUUUGGCGCAGUGGUUUUCAUAGAUGCAUGCACCGUUAAGUUAUGCCCUAGACCACUCAUUUUUCUUGUUUUCCUUUUUUGUUUUUGCAAUUACCUAUUACCACUGUUUUGUUUUGUUUUUUCCGUUUUCGACAAGGGAGUUUCUAUUCAUAUCUCUAAAAACGGCACUUUAAACUCUUUUUUUUUCAAGUUAUAGUUGCUAUAUAAAAUUACCAACAAAGACAUAUAUAUAGAGUUAAAAAAAAAAAACAAAUAAACCCCUCUUUUACCUCCACAACGGUAGUCUUCACCUAGGAGAAAAAUUCUUCUCCUACAUAAACCCUACCAUCAAACUCCAUGGAAGAUAGUGGCAAUUAAUUGAGACAAACAUCGAUUUGGAGUCUAUGCACAAGGUAUGAGUUUCUUGUUUUUUUUUUUUUGUAUGAAUUCACAUAUGUAUUAUUGUGUUUGUUUCAAUAAGAUCGAAACCUGUUGUCGGCUAAGUUCUUAUGAGGAUCGAUAUAGCUAAUAAUAGGUUUGAACCGCAAUUAGAUGAAUUUUAAAAGAAAAAUAUGACCGUUAGAUGCUCAAAAAUUAAAGAAGGUAUAAGUCUAAUUGUCUAACUACUGAAUAUGGAGGUAAGAAUAGAAUUUUCUAAGAGAAAACUGUUGUUAAAUAAAGAAAAGAAGAAGAGAAGACACAGAGAGAAUAGUUGGGAGGAGGUAGAAGUCAACUCAUUCAUUCUCAUUAACCUCUUUAUAUAGAGGUAAGGUUUACAUCAGAGUACAUAGCUAAUGAGUAAUUACGUGGACAGCCACAUAGAUUAUAAUAUUUAUAACACUCCCCCUUGGAUGUCCAUCAAUGAAUGAUGAAAUUAGACGCGCAUAAUGUUGUCUCGUUAAAAACCUUGCUAGGUAAGAAAAACCCAGUGGGAGAAAAAUAACCCUGGUCGAAGGAGAAAACGCGCAUAUGUCUUAGGUAGCAUACUUCUGGAUGCUCCCCCUGAUGAGAAUCUCCCCCUGAACGUUGCAAGCUUCAUGCACCGUAAAUAACGGUUUGAUUUUGUCCAUCACUAAAGUGAGACCAUGCGUGCUUUGCAUAUAAGGGCUCAUCAUGAAAUUUUAAACCUGCAAAGUUUAAACAACACCAACAGAGCUAAACGAUUAUAAAUAGGUCUUACCUCAUUAAGUCAUAUGACCUAAUUCAUACACUAAGUAAUAGCUAAUCAACAUAAGCUAAUUGACAUUAAAGCACUGAAACAUCAUCAUGGCGUAUCCAGCCAUACACAUCAAUAUCUUUGUGUAGUGAUACGUCUCAUAUAAGCUCUUCAAGAGUUCUAAGUAAUUCAUAACUUUGAAAGUUAGGAUAUGUAGCAACAUAACGAUCAUAAUUCGAAUUCGAUUUUGUAGUCUAAUCAUAGUACUCAUUGAGGCAAUUUUGAUCACGUUAAUUAUAACGGAAUGAGUAUAUAUGAGAUAGCUUUAGACUAUUUGAUUCCAUGAAUUAGCUUCAGGCUCUCUCAAGUAUUCAUGGAUCGAAUUACAUUAGAAUCAUUCAUGUGCUUGAAUCCUUUAAGGAUUUGACAAGCGAUACGCUUGUAAUGACACUUCACUUCUAGGAAUUUGAUUUAUCAAUGUGCCUUUAAAUUAAAGGCCCUCAUAAUAUACAAUGACAACAUGCCAUAAGUCUCUCGUCCAUGUAACAGUUACAUGUAACACCGUACUUAUAGAAAAGUAUCAUUCGUAGAAGGGUAGAUUCAUAAUCUCAUGUCCUUUGUAGACAUUGCACCAUAGUGAUAUAUUUUCACUCUGAUAAAUACCCUUUUUGUAUCUAUAGGGUUAAAGGUCAAAGUAUCUCAUCACGUUUCAAAUAUUUAGUUUCAUUGGAAUUGCCUCCUUCUAAUUUGGCCAAUAAUAUGCUUUGUCGGCAUGCAUAAUGAAACGUGGAAUAACACCGAUUAAUACAGUCCUUAAUGAUCUUUGGUAGAUACCAUUUGUAAAUUUUCAUAGAUGAUCAUCAUUCAUAGAUCUCACACAUUCUUAUAUGCAUACAUUUUUGAUAUUGGGUACCCAUGCCACUUCUGGGGCAAAUAUUGUCACUUCUAGGACAAAUAUUAUCUAGCGAAUGUGGAUCUUUUACUUGUAAUAUCACGUAGACCAUUAGAGGACAUGUAUAAUCUUCAAUUUUCAGGAGCUUAAAACUUUAGACCUAGUGGAUACAUUCCACUCAAAUUCACGCCGUUAUUCAAAUGACAGUAGUCUUAUUCUCCCCCUAACGGCAAGAAGACUGUCAUAUUAUGACUAUGCGCUAAUACGCGUUUAAAACUCUAUCACUUUCUUUCGAGUGAGAUGUUCAUUGGCUGGUAGCGAACCAAAACCAAAUAUGAGGUCAAAAAUAUUAAAUUCAUUAAUAUCAACCGAUAUAUCAUUCUCUAAUGGCUUACCUACAACCUUUGUAUGUGUAGCUGUAUUAGGAACUCUAACAUUGUAUCAUGACAUUCUCUUCAAGAGAACCAUGUCACAUGGAUACACAUGCAUCCCACAAAUCAAAUGUGGUAUAGAGUAUUUGAGUUAAUAUGGAUGAUCUCAUAGACUUAAAUCCAAGUUUGUCAAGAUCUUUUAUCAAUCACUAACUGAGACAUUUCUCAAAAUCAAAAUGAGAAGGUGGAUAAACAACUCACACCACUCUACAUUGUUCUCCAGGAACAAUCUAUCUCUCCCUCAUGACAGGAGGAUUGUCUCAUUAAAAUGUCAAAUAAACGAUUGGCUAUGAGUAGGGCUAGUGGUCAUCAAAACUUGUUAUUGAUUCCAGGUAAUACUAUAAGUAAAAUAUGACAUAACUUGUCAUACCAAAUAAUGUAUUUGGUUCAAUGAACUUCUGGUUCUUGAUGUUAUGUGCCUUAGUUCACUGUAAAAUUUGGCACAAUUUAUAUCAUAUAUUAAUCGAUUUUAACCGCAUUAGAGACACUUAAUUCAAAGAGGAUGCUCUUUUGGAGCCAUCAAUCAUAUGUGAAAUCGAAGUUUCAUGUUCGAAUUUAUAAUGUUAGAAUGAUAGGUUCUCAAAUUUCGUAUGUCAAACUUCGGGUUCAAAUAAUUUAAGUGCUCGAAACUUCAGGUUCAAAUAACCCAAGUGAAACUUCAUACGUUCGAGAUAUAAGGCUGCUGGCCCGUAUGAACAAUAAAAUUUAAACAAUAAGUACAAUAAUGAAAUUGCAUAACAAAAUAAGAAAACUGUAAGGAGCAAAAAGUAAAUAAAUUGUACACAUGAAACUUCUGGUUCCAUGAAUUAAUAAAAUACACAGAUCUUCAGGUCUGGUUAAGUUUAUCAAAUAUGAUAAUUGUGAUUCCCAAUCUCAUCUAGUUACACAUGCAAGAAACAUCAUAUGAAAUAGGUGGGGAACUUCAGGUCCUCAUAUGAUUAGGGAUCAUAAGAUGUCGUUUCGGUCGUUGUGUAACACUAAGGAACUUCAGGCCCUUGUCAAUUUCAUAGGCUAUGAGAAACUUCAUAUCACAAUUUCAAUAAAUUUCAAGCCCUCUAUAUUUCAAUCAAGAGACUUUAGGUCUCGAUUUGAAUUCAAUAAUCAAUACCACAAGAUAUAUAUAUAUAUAUAUAUAUAUAUAUAUAUAUANNNNNNNNNNNNNNNNNNNNNNNNNNNNNNNNNNNNNNNNNNNNNNNNNNNNNNNNNNNNNNNNNNNNNNNNNNNNNNNNNNNNNNNNNNNNNNNNNNNNNNNNNNNNNNNNNNNNNNNNNNNNNNNNNNNNNNNNNNNNNNNNNNNNNNNNNNNNNNNNNNNNNNNNNNNNNNNNNNNNNNNNNNNNNNNNNNNNNNNNAAAGUGCGGACGUCCGCUCUCUAUCCUUUCUGUGUAUAUAUACAUAUAUAUAUAUAUAUAUUUGAACAUCGGCUGAAGGAAUAACAUUCAAAGCCAUUCAUAUUGGCCACCCAUAACAGCGAUAGACUUUCUACCAUAUGAUUCAUGCCCAAAUCUAAAUCAUGGCAUUGAAUAUAACCAAAAAAAAAAUGGCUGAGGUGCGAUGCCUAUGAAUACAAGGAGAUAAUUAUACAUAAUCAAUGGUCUAUAGAGAUAUUGGAGAAUGAAUAGGCUCAAUGAGGUCAAGACUGAUGCAACGAUCUGUGGAAACCAAUAAAGCUGAAAUUGAUAUAGAAAACCAAAUAGUAAAAAUAAACUAACCAAACACGAAAAAUGUCGGACUCGUAGAUCAUGAGUUUUGGGCAAGCAAUCACCAAAUACUCUUAGAUCAUCAUAGAGUUUAAAACAAAAGAAACAAAAAAAAUUAGAACAAGCUUGUGUGCAUGGCAGCAAAGCCAAGACUGAAUUCUAGAUAACGGCAGAAAAAAAAACUCUUUUGGAGAAUUUAGGGUUCUUGGUACUUUAAGAUUUGGUCGUUAUCAACUCAAAGGUAGAGUCGUGCUGAUAACGUGUUGUUAAAUAAAGAAAAUAAGAAGAGAAGACACAUAGAGAAUAGUUAGGAGGAGGUAGAAGUCUACUCAUUCAUUCUCAUUAGCCUCUUUAUAUGGAGGUAGAGUUUACAUCAGAGUAUAUAAUUAAUAAGUAAUUACGUGGACAGCCACAUAGAUUAUAAUAUUUAUAAUAAAAAUGAAUUUUAUUGAUUUUAUUGGACUAUGGGCAUUUUAGAAAAAUUAGGGAGGUGUGAAUAGCAUUUUAGUAUUUUGUAAAAGUAAAUUGGAGGUACAUUAAUAAAGAAGGUCCAAGUGUCAUUUUUGAGAUAUGAAUGGAAACUCAUAUUUUGGACAAAGGCCUAAAGUACAAGGUGAUAAGCUACCACUACAAAAAUCUGGCCAAAAGGCACCUCACCUUACGUAUCAACAUGUCGGCCUUUAUCUAGUAGAGUAAUAGAUGCUACAGGCAUCGAGACUAUAAGCUUCGCCGAUCGCACUGACGCUCCAAAAAGAGAGCAAAGAAAACAAACUUGUAAUACCUAAUUACUGAAAAAGAAUACUAUUUGUCUCGGACCUCAAUUGUUGUUCAUCUAGUAGACUCAAAACUAAGUACGUACAAGUCUAUAAGAGCUUACUUCCAUUGCCCAGGCAAGCCACGUCAAGGAUUAAUACACCUAGUCGUUGUGCCCUUGGCACGAGGGCUAGCAUUCUAACGCUAGAAAAAGGAGAGACUGAGCAAGCCCUCCUUUUAAGAUGUACAAUUACCUAAAGGUCGACACAUAAGCUUUUUCAAGGAGAGAGAAUCACCUUCAGUCGAUCCCUGAUUCCUGCAAACCAAGAGAUUCGAUCGACUUGGAGAGAUGGAUCGCUGCCACCCAAAAUUGACCGUCUUAAAUUUCGUGGGAUGACUAUGUAAUACAAUCCUCAAUUCACGAUCACUUAUUGGUGUUACAGAAAUGGUAUUAGAGCGGUUUCCUCGGACUUCCUCGUUUUCAAAUGUUUUCAAGUCUUAGGUACCACAAAAGUUUUACGUUGGCUAAUGUUUUUCUAAACUUGUUUUUGAAAGUGUUUUCUUGUUUUAUGAACUUAAUUUUCAUAUUCUGGUUUUCGAAAAGUUUUUACUUAGAGGAUUUCAAGCCAAUGAGAAAAUGAACCGUCCGAAAGGUGCGCCGACAACCCAUUAACUCAAAAUCCAAGGCAAUUUUAGGAAUUUAAAAUAAAACUUUACAGACAACGUCGGCAAUUUAAAUCACAUGUGCAAAUCAGAGUUCAUAACUCGAGCGGAAAGUGGCAUAUAUAUAUAUAGUCGUUUUCAGAUACGGAGGUCCGGACGGGUUUUCCGUCCGGAUUUCCACCGUUUCUCCACCUUUCGAGUGCCGGCGACGCCGUUUUUUCUGCCCGACGUGAUCCCAGACCUCCCCCGACGGUGUUAGAAUGAAGAAGAAGGUCUAAGAGAUCGCGAUCGGAGGUCCACCAUGAUCGGUCAUGAAGUUCUGAGUGAGAUUGCUGCACAGACUUNNNNNNNNNNNNNNNNNNNNAAACUAUCUCCCGGGACUAGCCGGAGUAGUAGCCGCUGACAUAUAACGUCGACACAAUAUGCCUGUUCAUUAUUAUACGGGAAGGCGGGAAGCUCAAAUAUUCCUCACAAAGGUAUAACAUUUUCAUGCAACUCCUUUGCGGACAAAAUUUUGUCAGCCAUGGUUGUGUUGUACAUGUUUGUAAGGUUUUACUCGAACACUCUGUUCAGUACUAUUGAUAAGCUGAUAAUCAUAUUCUAGCAACAUUUAUACAUACAAGUGAACCCACUAUCCAAACAUGCCGAGUCCUUUCAUUAACAAACAUGAGUCCACACCAAGCAAAAUUGCACACAAAUAUAGCCACCAGAGGUUUACAAUACAAAUUAUCAAAACAUAAAGCAAAGAAUUCCAUAAACACUAAGUAUUACAGGAAAAGAGUCAAUAAACCACUAAUUUUGACGUUAUUUUCAUAUGAAUUAGCAGUGUUAAUACAAUUAUAAAUGUAUAAACCUAGCAAUCGCUCUCCUAUGUUCUUGCAUUUUGUUUCUGAAUCAAUACAACCUUGGCUUAACCCGCCUUCCGUUCAUGUCACUGCCAUCUAAUAAGGUCCCUUUCCCAAAUCCACCAGCAAUAAAAGAAUGCUCACCAAUCCUUGCAACAUAUUGCAGUAAUUCGGUGAUUACAGAAGGGCAGCUUUCCGUCAAGUACUUGUAACCAUCAGUCUCAAUCACAGCU
rnacentral:lncRNA from 1 species